GACGGAGGAGGCAAGCGUUAUCCGGAAUUACUGGGCGUAAAGCGUGCGUAGACGGUUAUUUAAGUCGGAUGUGAAAGCCCCGGGCUCAACCUGGGAAUUGCAUUCGAGACUGAAUAGCUAGGGUGCGGUAGAGGGAAGCGGAAUUUCCGGUGUAGCGGUGAAAUGCGUAGAUAUCGGAAGGAACAUCAGUGGCGAAAGCGGCUUCCUGGACCAGCACCGACGUUCAGGCACGAAAGCGUGGGGAGCAAACAGG
rnacentral:rRNA from 1 species